rnacentral:rRNA from 1 species
GUAGUAAUUCUCUAGAACCUGAUUAUUUAGCGGCGAGGUGCACAUACGCGGUGGUCUAGGCUUUGCCACAAUCCUGUGUAGUCAAGCGACUACACAGGUGAAGCGUGGCUUCGCCACUGCGUCGACCAGUGUCUGUCUGACUGUCUCAAGCAGGCAAGACGACGCGUCUAAGCAAACCGACCGGGAUGCCGCGUGCGCGCAUGCAUCUCUUCUCUGUAUAAGUAGACAAAUCGAAUGAUGCAGUUUCCACUCCAUCCCGUUCUGUCCAGUCACUAGCAAGGCUUUUGCUACCUCUUCCUGCGACUCGAUCAUGAGCUACCAGCAGGGCUACCCGCCACCGGGCACUGCAGCAGCGUACCCUCCGCCGGGCCACCACCAGCAGGCCUACGUCGCGCCGCCGCCGGCUAUGUACCAGCAGGACCAACAGUACCCUCCUGCCGGCGCCGACACCACCAGCCGCGGCGGACACGGCCACGGCGGCGAUGGCUUCUUGAAAGGAUGCUGCGCGGCGCUGUGCUGCUGCUGCCUCCUCGACGCCUGCUUCUGAUCGACUUCGUCCCAUGUUGUUCCACCGGCACGAUCAGGCGUGGCAGAUAGAUUAUAUAGAGUAUCUUCAUACUUUUUUUGCUUCUUUUUAAAACGUGGUUGAUGUGUUGAGUACUAGUCCCAGAACAAGAUCUUUUUUUUUGUUUUUUUUGGAGAGGCAGAACAAGAUUUCUUGUGUGUGAUAUUUUUUUUAACAAGUUCCUGUGUAUGAUAGAUAGAUAUGUGAGAUUGAUCUGAUGGCCUUAUGGAAUGUAUAUUUUCUUGGUGUUUUCUUUUAGGAUAACUUGCCGCAUUUAUUGAAUGAAGUUCAGGAAUCUCG